GGAGCAAACAGGAUUAGAUACCCUGGUAGUCCACGCUGUAAACGAUGAGUACUAGGUGUCGGGGGUUACCCCCUUCGGUGCCGCAGCUAACGCAUUAAGUACUCCGCCUGGGAAGUACGCUCGCAAGGGUGAAACUCAAAGGAAUUGACGGGGACCCGCACAAGUAGCGGAGCAUGUGGUUUAAUUCGAAGCAACGCGAAG
rnacentral:rRNA from 1 species